AUGUGAAUUGCAGAAUUCAGUGAAUCAUCGAAUCUUUGAACGCACCUUGCGCUCCUUGGUAUUCCGAGGAGCAUGCCUGUUUGAGUGUCAUUAAAUUCUCAAUCCUUUCUGGGUUUACUCUCAGUUGGGCUUGGAUAUGGGGGUUUUGCCGGCUUUGUAAAACAAACAAAGUCAGCUCUCCUGAAAGACAUUAGCAAGACUCUUGUUGCAACCUUCUAUCUGGUGUGAUAAUUAUCUACAUCAUAGAUUUGUACACUAUGUCUAGCUUCUAACAGUCCAUUAAAUUGGACAAAACUCUGACAAUUUGACCUCAAAUCAGGUAGGACUACCCGCUGAACUUAAGCAUAUCAAUAAGCGGAGGAAAAGAAACUAACAAGGAUUCCCCUAGUAACUGCGAGUGAAGCGGGAAAAGCUCAAAUUUAAAAUCUGGCAGUCUCUGGCUGUCCGAG
rnacentral:rRNA from 1 species